rnacentral:tmRNA from 1 species
GGGGGCGACACGGCUUCGACGGGGGUAAAGAAUCGCGGGAUGCAUGCCGAGCUGUCCACUGCCUCGUAAAUCCGGUGGAACACAUAGUAACUGCGAACACGCAGCUUGCUCUCGCGGCUUAACUAAACCUUAAGUCCGCGACGUCCACCUCGUCCUUGCCGGCAGGGUGGGAUCUGGAUGUCAUAAAAGCCGGCUGGUCGCCGCGGGCGGUUCCGACGAGCGGCGACAAGACUUCAUCGGAGCUAGCGGCCCGCGGUUUCCGUCGUUCUUUGACGCGGGUUGCGAAAAAUCAAGAGCGGCUACGCAUGUAGAGUUCCGCGACGGCGUACUCUCGGACGCGGGUUCGACUCCCGCCGCCUCCACCA